rnacentral:rRNA from 1 species
AUUGAACGCUGGCGGCAUGCUUUACACAUGCAAGUCGAACGGUAACAGGGAGCUUGCUCCGCUGACGAGUGGCGAACGGGUGAGUAAUGCGUCGGAACGUGCCGAGUAGCGGGGGAUAACGCAUCGAAAGGUGUGCUAAUACCGCAUACGUACUGAGGUAGAAAGUGGGGGACCUUCGGGCCUCACGCUAUUCGAGCGGCCGACGUCUGAUUAGCUAGUUGGUGAGGUAAAGGCUCACCAAGGCGACGAUCAGUAGCGGGUCUGAGAGGAUGAUCCCCCACACUGGGACUGAGACACGGCCCAGACUCCUACGGGAGGCAGCAGUGGGGAAUUUUGGACAAUGGGCGCAAGCCUGAUCCAGCCAUGCCGCGUGUCUGAAGAAGGCCUUCGGGUUGUAAAGGACUUUUGUCCGGGAGCAAAUGCCUGGUGUUAAUAGCACUGGGAGCUGAGAGUACCGGAAGAAUAAGCACCGGCUAACUACGUGCCAGCCGCCGCCGUAACAC